rnacentral:rRNA from 1 species
AAUGAACGCUGGCGGCGUGCUUUACACAUGCAAGUUGAGCGAGGCCGGUAGCAAUACCGAGUCGAGCGGCGAACGGGUGAGUAACGCGUGGAUAACCUGCCCUGAGGUGGGGAAUAACCCGGGGAAACUCGGGCUAGUACCGCAUGAUACCGAGAGGUCAAAGAGGGCUCGUAAGGGCUCUUGCCACAGGAGGGGUCCGCGUUCGAUUAGCUAGUUGGUAGGGUAAUGGCCUACCAAGGCGACGAUCGAUAGCCGGCCUGAGAGGGUGAUCGGCCACACUGGAACUGAGACACGGUCCAGACUCCUACGGGAGGCAGCAGUGGGGAAUUUUGCGCAAUGGGCUAACGCCUGACGCAGCAACGCCGCGUGGAGGAUGAAGGUCUUUGGAUUGUAAACUCCUGUCAGCAGGGAAAAAGGGAUAGGGCCUAAUACGUCCUAAACUUGAUUGUACCUGCAGAGGAAGCCCCGGCUAACUCUGUGC